GACGAACGCUGGCGGCGUGCCUAACACAUGCAAGUUGAGCGGGAAUGUAUCUUCAGAGAUUUCGAUUGACGAAGAUGCAGGAGAGCAGCGGACGGGUGAGUAACGCGUGAGCAAUCUGCCCUGUGGAGGGGGAUAGCCUCCGGAAACGGAGAUUAAUACCGCAUAACACUGCACUGUCGCAUGAUAGAGCAGUCAAAACUCAGGUGCCACAGGAUGAGCUCGCGUCUCAUUAGCUAGUUGGUAGGGUAAAAGCCUACCAAGGCGACGAUGAGUAGCCGACCUGAGAGGGUGAUCGGCCACACUGGGACUGAGACACGGCCCAGACUCCUACGGGAGGCAGCAGUGGGGAAUAUUGCGCAAUGGGGGGAACCCUGACGCAGCAACGCCGCGUGAAUGAAGAAGGCUUUCGAGUCGUAAAAUUCUGUCCUCAGGGAAGAAGAAGUGACGGUACCUGAGGAGGAAGCCCCGGCUACUACG
rnacentral:rRNA from 1 species